GACGAACGCUGGCGGCGUGCUUAACACAUGCAAGUCGAACGGAAAGGCCCUGCUUUUGUGGGGUGCUCGAUUGGCGAACGGGUGAGUAACACGUGUGUAUCCUGCCCUUGACUUUGUGAUAUCUUCAGGAAACUGGGGCUAUUACCGGAUAGGAUCUCCUGCUGCAUGGUGGUGGUUGGAAAGUUUCGGCGGUUGGGGAUGUUCUCGCUGCUUAUCAGCUUGUUGGUGGGGUAGUGGCUUACCAAGGCUUUGACGGGUAGCAGGCCUGAGAGGGUGACCGGCGACAUUGGGACUGAGAUAGGGAGCAGAAGGGAACGGGAGGCAGCAGGGGGGAAGAUUGCAGAAUGGGCGGAAGCGAGAUGAAGAAAAGCGGCGAGCGGGAUGAAGGCCUACGGGUUGUAAAAAGAUUUGGAAUGAGACGAAGCGGGAGUGACGGUAAUGGGUAAAGAAGCACCGGCUAACUACGUG
rnacentral:rRNA from 1 species